UUUAACAUGUSYGCGAGUCAAAGGGUCCUACCAAACCCCUAGGCCUAUUGAAAGUAAAGUUCAUACUGCACUUCUGCACAUGCGCAGUGUAGUGUGGCGAGGUGAGAUCUCGUUGUACUCAUGACACACGCCGUGUAAACCUUUACUAGGCAUUAUUGGGGCAACGAGCGCAUCACCGGCCCGUCCCAUGAUGUGGUCAUGGGUGGACUUGUGCGUGGAGUGGUAAUACACAAAGCGUACAAAGCCUGUGCGUCAUCGGGGCGGAGCAUGAGCACACACGUUGAGACCCGAAAGAUGGUGAACUAUGCUUGCGUAGGUUGAAGCCAGAGGAAACUUUGGUGGAGGACCGUAGCGAUUUUGACGUGCAAAUCGAUUGUCAAACGUGAGUAUAGGGGCGAAAGACUAAUCGAACCAUCUAGUAGCUGGUUCCCUCCGAAGUUUCCCUCAGGAUAGCUGGCACUCAUUGGUAUAAUCAGUUUUAUCCGGUAAAGCGAAUGAUUAGAGGUACUGGGUCCGAAAUGGACUCAACCUAUUCUCAAACUUUAAAUGGGUGAGAUGCUCGACUCGCCUCAUGUGCGUGUGUGUAUUAAUUGUGCGGAGUCGAGCGUUGAAUGUGCGAGUGCCAAGUGGGCCAUUUUUGGUAAGCAGAACUGGCGCUGUGGGAUGAACCAAACGCGUGGUUAAGGUGCCUAACGCUGACGCUCAUGAGAUACCACAAAAGGUGUUGGUUAAUAUAGACAGCAGGACGGUGGCCAUGGAAGUCGGCAUCCGCUAAGGAGUGUGUAACAACUCACMUGCCGAAUUGACCAGCCCUGAAAAUGGAUGGCGCUAGAGCGUCGGACAUAUACCGCGCCGUCAUUGCAAGMUGGAUAUAUGGGGUUGUCUAUUAUGUGUGGCGUGUGUGUUCGCAGAUACAAUCAUGGUCCAGGCAUGGAGCGCGAUGACGAGUAGGAGGGUCUCCGUGGUGAGCGUAGAAGCCUCUGGCGUGAGUCAGGGUGGAGCCGCCACGGGUGCAGAUMUUGGUGGUAGUAGCAAAUAUUCAAGUGAGAACUAUG
rnacentral:rRNA from 1 species